GUCUGUGGAAUAAGAAGAGAAGACCAAAACCCUAUCUCUAGAGACAUCAACAUUUCAGGGCAAUAGGGAUCCACCAAGACAUUUUAAGCAGAGGGCUGAUAUGAUUAAAUUUACAUCUUGGACUGAUCACCCUGGCAACAGAGAGAGGCUGUUGCAUUAAUGCAAGUGUCGUUUUGGAUCCUUGGCACUGAAUGCACAGCCCUAUAUCUAGUAGGUGCUCAGUAAACACUGAAGAGGAGGAGGAGGGUGCAGUAUCCAGAACUGCUUUCUUGUUUUCAGAGGUUGUUAAUCAUCAGGUCACAGAAGAAAUUUGCAAUGUGAAUUUCAUCAUGCAAAAUAGUUAAUGCCUUGCCAAGGCAUUCAUCCCAGCAGUGUAAAUGAGUAGGGAGGAGAGUCCGGGAAGACUGACUCUGGUUACCUCACCUGGGGACAUGCAGCCUUGAAAACACUGACUCUUGCGCUCCUGGGGGGCCCUGAUUUGCAUCCAUUUACAGCAGGAAGAGAAGGGAAUUCAGCAUCAGGGUGAACUUGGAGGAAAGCUGUGGCUAAGGUUCAGAGCACUAGCUCCACCAAAAUCGGGAACCAAGCCUGUCUUCUUCACCCUGACACCUGAAGCACUUCCGUGCUCAAGAAAAUCCUGGUUGAGAAAUAAACAAAUGAAUCAACCUUUUCAGGCAAAGAGGAAA